AUUGAACGCUGGCGGAAUGCUUUACACAUGCAAGUCGAACGGCAGCACGGGCUUCGGUCUGGUGGCGAGUGGCGAACGGGUGAGUAACAUAUCGGAACGUAUCCAAUAAUGGGGGAUAACUAAUCGAAAGGUUGGCUAAUACCGCAUACGCCCUACGGGGGAAAGCUAGGGACCUUCGGGCCUGGCGUUAAUGGAGCGGCCGAUAUCUGAUUAGCUAGUUGGUGGGGUAAAGGCCCACCAAGGCGACGAUCAGUAGCUGGUCUGAGAGGACGGCCAGCCACACUGGAACUGAGACACGGUCCAGACUCCUACGGGAGGCAGCAGUGGGGAAUUUUGGACAAUGGGCGCAAGCCUGAUCCAGCCAUUCCGCGUGAGUGAAGAAGGCCUUCGGGUUGUAAAGCUCUUUCGCAAGGGAAGAAAACUUACCCUCUAACAUAGGGUGAGGUUGACGGUACCUUGAUAAGAAGCACCGGCUAACUACGUGCCAGCCGCCGCCGUAACAC
rnacentral:rRNA from 1 species